rnacentral:rRNA from 1 species
CCUGGCUCAGAUUGAACGCUGGCGGCAUGCCUUACACAUGCAAGUCGAACGGCAGCGGACCUUCGGGUGCCGGCGAGUGGCGAACGGGUGAGUAAUAUAUCGGAACGUACCUUCAGUGGGGGAUAACGUAGCGAAAGUUACGCUAAUACCGCAUAUUCUGUGAGCAGGAAAGCAGGGGAUCGCAAGACCUUGCGCUGAUUGAGCGGCCGAUAUCAGAUUAGCUAGUUGGUGAGGUAAAGGCUCACCAAGGCGACGAUCUGUAGCGGGUCUGAGAGGAUGAUCCGCCACACUGGAACUGAGACACGGUCCAGACUCCUACGGGAGGCAGCAGUGGGGAAUUUUGGACAAUGGGCGCAAGCCUGAUCCAGCCAUGCCGCGUGAGUGUAGAAGGCCUUCGGGUUGUAAAGCUCUUUCGGCCGGGAAGAAAUCGCACAGGUUAAUACCCUGUGUGGAUGACGGUACCGGAAUAAGAAGCACCGGCUAACUACGUG